GCGUAGCUCAGUUGGUAGAGCGCCGGAUUGUGGUUCCGGUGGCCGCGGGUUCAAAUCCCGUCGUU
rnacentral:tRNA from 1 species